AUCUAGAAGUCGAAACAAAACAAGCGGCUGAAGCGGCGGCGGCGGAGCCGGGACGGGGGAGGGGCGCGCCGGAACCGGAACCGACUCGACGCCGGAACCGGAAUCGAGAGCGGGUUGCCAGGGCCCGAAGAGGGCUGGUGGUGGCUGUCUCGCUCGGCUGUUGGUUCCUUGCUGAAGAAUUUGGCUACAAAGAGUUGCCAAGAUAGCUGGGCCAGGAAGAAAGCGCCGUAGCCCUGACCCAGACGCUGUUGCCGACCCUGGGGCACUCUGGCUGGCUACCAAGCGGCUCAAGAUGUCUGGUGGGGCCAGUACUACAGGCCCAAGGAGAGGGCCCCCAGGAUUGGAGGAAGCCACUAGUAAGAAGAAACAGAAGGAUCGAGCAAACCAGGAAAGCAAAGAUGGAGAUCCCAGGAGAGCGUCUACACCUCGAAAGGAGCAGCCCAAAGAGGAAUUGUUGCUUGAUUGGAAACAGACCGCAGAUGAGGUGACUGUUAAACUGCGGGUAGGAGCAGGUCCCCUACGUCUGGAGGAAGUAGACGCUGCUUUCACAGACACAGACUGUGUGGUGAGGCUUCCAGGUGGUCAGCAAUGGGGUGGUGUCUUUUUUGCUGAAAUACAAAGUUCUUGCACCAAAGUGCAGGCUCGUAAGGGUGGUCUUCUACAGUUGACACUACCCAAGAAGGUGCCUCUGCUCGCCUGGCCCUCUCUCCUGAAAAAACCUCUAGGCACCCAAGAGCUGGUGCCAGGGUUGCGGUGCCAGGAGAAUGGACAAGAGCUGUCUCCCAUUGCCCUGGAACCAGGCUCUGAGCCCCGCAGAGCUAAACAGGAAGCCCGAAACCAGAAGCGGGCCCAGGGCCGUGGUGAGGUAGGCUCAGGGACUGGCCCUGGAGCACAGGCAGGGCCCAGUGCCAAGAGGGCCGUGCAUCUCCGCAGAGGGCCAGAAGGGGAAGGGCCCAGGGAUGGCCCUGGUCCCCAAGGUGAUGCUCCACCCUUUCUGUCUUCUGACUCGGCCACUCAGGUUGAGAUUGAGGAGCAGCUCCAUGUAUCACCACUGAACCCUCAAACCAGUCUCCUGGGCUCAGAGAAGGAUUUAGCCCAUUUGACAGGGGAGAAGACAGUGGCCUCCAGGAAUGGCCCAAUCUCCCCAGCCAUGGUCCAGAGCAGAGACUGUGAGAGAGAUGACCACAUCAAAGAGGAGAUGGCAGUAGGAGCAGAGUCUGCAACUUUGGUGGAUGAACCAGAGUCCAUGGUGAACCUGGCAUUUGUCAAGAAUGACUCCUAUGAGAAGGGACCGGAUUCAGUGGUGGUGCACGUGUAUGUGAAGGAGAUCUGCAGGGACACCUCUCGCGUACUUUUCCGAGAGCAGGACUUCACGCUCAUCUUCCAGACCAGGGAUGGAAAUUUCUUGAGGCUGCAUCCAGGCUGUGGGCCCCAUACCAUCUUCCGCUGGCAGGUGAAGCUCAGGAACCUUAUUGAGCCAGAGCAGUGUACGUUCUGUUUCACGGCCUCUCGCAUCGAUAUCUGCCUCCGGAAGCGGCAGAGUCAGCGCUGGGGGGGACUGGAGGCCCCAGCUACACGAGGUGCAGUGGGUGGUGCAAAGGUUGCCGUGCCGACAGGUCCAACUCCUUUGGAUGCAACCCCUCCAGGAGGUGCCCCCCACCCCCUGACAGGCCAGGAGGAAGCCAGGGCUGUGGAGAAGGAAAAGCCUAAGACCCGAUCUGAGGACACAGGGCUUGAUGGUGUGGUGGCCCGAACCCCUUUGGAGCAUGUAGCUACAAAGCCAGAACCACACUUGGCCUCGCCCAAACCCACAUGUAUGGUGCCUCCAAUGCCUCAUAGUCCGGUGAGUGGAGAUAGUGUGGAGGAAGAGGAAGAGGAAGAGAAGAAGGUGUGUUUGCCAGGCUUCACUGGCCUUGUCAAUUUAGGGAACACCUGCUUCAUGAAUAGUGUCAUUCAGUCCCUGUCCAACACUCGGGAACUUCGUGACUUCUUCCACGACCGAUCCUUUGAAGCUGAGAUUAACUACAACAACCCACUGGGGACUGGUGGGCGACUGGCCAUUGGCUUUGCUGUGCUGCUCCGAGCCCUGUGGAAAGGCACUCAUCAAGCCUUCCAGCCCUCCAAGCUAAAGGCCAUUGUGGCAAGCAAGGCCAGCCAGUUCACAGGCUAUGCACAGCACGAUGCCCAAGAGUUCAUGGCUUUCUUGUUGGAUGGGCUACAUGAGGACCUAAAUCGGAUCCAAAACAAGCCCUACACUGAGACUGUGGACUCCGACGGACGUCCUGACGAGGUGGUGGCUGAGGAAGCAUGGCAGCGACACAAGAUGAGGAACGACUCAUUCAUUGUGGACCUGUUUCAGGGCCAGUACAAGUCAAAGCUGGUGUGCCCAGUGUGUGCCAAGGUCUCCAUCACUUUUGACCCGUUCCUUUAUCUACCGGUGCCUUUGCCACAAAAGCAAAAGGUUCUCCCCAUCUUCUAUUUUGCUCGGGAACCCCACAGCAAACCCAUCAAGUUUUUGGUGAGUGUUAGCAAGGAGAACUCCAGCGCCAGUGAAGUCUUGGAUUCCCUCUCUCAGAGUGUCCAUGUGAAGCCUGAGAACCUGCGACUGGCUGAGGUAAUUAAGAACCGUUUCCACCGUGUUUUCUUGCCCUCCCACUCACUGGACACUGUGUCCCCAACUGACAUGCUCCUCUGCUUUGAGCUGCUGUCCCCAGAGUUGGCUAAGGAGCGGGUAGUGGUGUUAGAGGUGCAGCAGCGCCCCCAGGUACCCAGCAUCCCUAUCUCCAAGUGUGCAGCCUGCCAGCGGAAGCAGCAGUCAGAGGAUGAAAAACUGAGGCGUUGUACCCGUUGCUACCGUGUGGGCUACUGCAACCAGUUCUGCCAGAAAACCCAUUGGCCUGACCACAAAGGCCUCUGCCGCCCUGAGAACAUUGGCUACCCCUUCCUGGUCAGUGUUCCUGCCUCACGCCUCACUUAUUCCCGUCUUGCCCAACUCCUAGAAGGCUAUGCCAGAUACUCGGUGAGUGUAUUCCAGCCACCCUUCCAGGCUGGCCGUAUGGGCUUGGAAUCACAGAGUCCUGGCUGUACCACAUUGCUUUCAACCAACUCCCUGGAGGCUGGAGAUAGUGAGAGAGAACCCAUUCAGCCUUCUGAGCUCCAGUUGGUUUCUCCUGUGGCUGAGGGGGAUACAGGGGCUCCCCGUGUGUGGGCACCCGCUGAUCGGGGUCCUGUACCUAGCACCAGUGGAAUUUCUUCUGAGAUGCUGGCUAGUGGGCCUAUUGAAGGUUGUUCGUUGCUUGCUACUGAGAGGGUGUCCCGGCCUGAAGCUGCUGUGCCUGGGUACCAACACUCAAGUGAAGCCACGAAUACCCACAUGCCCCAGUUUUUCAUCUAUAAAAUUGACGCAUCAAACCGAGAGCAGCGGCUUGAGGACAAAGGGGAAACACCACUGGAGCUAGGUGACGAUUGCAGCCUGGCUCUGGUGUGGCGGAACAAUGAGCGUCUACCGGAGUUUGUGUUAGUAGCCUCCAAGGAGCUGGAGUGUGCUGAAGACCCAGGCUCUGCUGGUGAGGCUGCCCGUGCUGGCCACUUUACCCUGGACCAGUGCCUCAACCUCUUUACUCGACCUGAAGUGCUAGCGCCUGAGGAGGCCUGGUACUGCCCACAGUGCAAACAGCAUCGCGAGGCCUCCAAACAGCUGCUGCUAUGGCGCCUACCAAAUGUCCUCAUUGUGCAGCUAAAGCGCUUCUCCUUUCGUAGUUUCAUUUGGCGCGACAAGAUCAAUGACUUGGUGGAGUUUCCUGUUCGGAACCUGGACUUGAGCAAGUUCUGUAUUGGCCAGAAAGAGGAGCAGCUGCCUAGCUAUGACUUGUAUGCUGUCAUCAACCAUUAUGGAGGCAUGAUUGGUGGCCACUAUACUGCCUGUGCACGCCUGCCCAGCGAUCGCAGUAGCCAGCGCAGUGACGUGGGCUGGCGCCUGUUUGAUGACAGCACAGUGACAACAGUGGACGAGAGCCAGGUGGUGACACGCUAUGCUUACGUGCUCUUCUACCGACGGCGGAACUCUCCUGUGGAGAGACCCCCCAGGGCAGGUCACUCUGAACACCACCCAGACCUAGACCCUGCAGCUGAAGCUGCUGCCAGCCAGGCUUCCCGGAUUUGGCAGGAGCUCGAGGCCGAGGAGGAGAUGGUGCCCGAGGGGCCUGGGCCUCUGGGUCCUUGGGGGCCCCAAGACUGGGUGGGGCCCCCGCCACGUGGCCCUACCACACCAGACGAGGGCUGUCUCCGAUACUUUGUCCUGGGUACCGUGGCGGCUUUGGUGGCCCUUGUGCUCAACGUAUUCUAUCCUCUGGUGUCUCAGAGUCGCUGGAGAUAAGCUCAUCUGCAGGCGCCUCUUGUGAGCUGGCCUACCUGCCUGCUCACCAGGCCACGCCUACCUUUGUGGUAGGGAACAACUCUGGGCUCUGGGCCUCAGUGUAUGUAUCUGAUGGGAGAUCUGUGGGGACUGCAGCCUCUGCAGGGGCAGAGUAUCCUAGGGUAUAUGUCCAUCCAGUUGUCUGUUCCUCCUGUUUCUCUGACCCUUGUCCUAGGGCUUGGCCCUGCUGCAACUAUUUCCUGUAUUUAAAGUGUUAAUAAAGGACUAGGCCCUGGCCAGGCCCCCGAGGUGGCCCCUACGCGGACAGCCCCUGAACGCUUCGCCCCCCCUGUGGACCGCCCAGCCCCCACGUACAGCAACAUGGAGGAGGUCGAUUAGCAGGUCCCUGGCUG